UACGUAGGGUGCAAGCGUUGUCCGGAAUUAUUGGGCGUAAAGAGCUCGUAGGCGGUCUGUCGCGUCGGCUGUGAAAACCUGGGGCUCAACCCCGGGCCUGCAGCCGAUACGGGCAGGCUAGAGUCCGGCAGGGGAGACUGGAAUUCCUGGUGUAGCGGUGAAAUGCGCAGAUAUCAGGAGGAACACCGGUGGCGAAGGCGGGUCUCUGGGCCGGAACUGACGUCGUGAGGAGCGAAAGCGUGGGGAGCGAACAGG
rnacentral:rRNA from 1 species